rfam:Hordeum vulgare subsp. vulgare, WGS project CAJW01000000 data, contig: morex_contig_40387
CACAUACUCCCUCCGUCUGAAAAUACUUGUCGCUCAAAUGGAUGCAUGCAGAUGUAUUUUAGUUCUAGAUAUAUUCAUUUUUAUAAAUUUUUGCGACAAGUAAUUUCAGGCGGAGGGAGUACUAG